rnacentral:rRNA from 1 species
UUGGAGGGCAAGUCUGGUGCCAGCAGCCGCGGUAAUUCCAGCUCCAAUAGCGUAUAUUAAAGUUGUUGCAGUUAAAAAGCUCGUAGUUGAAUUUCGGGGUCAGUAGGUCGGUCGUGCCACUGGUAUGAACUGGUUUUACUGAUUCCUCCCUCCUGAAGAACUGUAAUGCCAUUAAUUUGGUGUUGCAGGGAAUCAGGACUGUUACUUUGAAAAAAUUAGAGUGUUUAAAGCAGGCUUUAGCUUGAAUACAUUAGCAUGGAAUAAUGAAAUAGGACGUUUGAUCCUAUUUUGUUGGUUUCUAGGAUUGACGUAAUGAUUAAUAGGGAUAGUUGGGGGCAUUAGUAUUCAAUUGUCAGAGGUGAAAUUCUUGGAUUUAUUGAAGACUAACUACUGCGAAAGCAUUUGCCAAGGAUGUUUUCAUUAAUCAAGAACGAAAGUUAGGGGAUCGAAGACGAUCAGAUACCGUCGUAGUCUUAACCAUAAACUAUGCCGACUAGGGAUCGGAUGAUGUUAAUUUUUUAAUGACUCAUUCGGCGCCUUACGGGAAAC